UUGUAUUCUUUCAAAGUUACAAACCAUCAAAAAGAUGAAAACCGGUACGAGCCACCUUAAGAUUGAAUAGCAAAUCAUUCCCAUAUUUCAAAUAAUUAAAUUUUGCAUACAUUGUAUUUUAUUUUGUACGAUUAAGACUUAAAACUGAAUUGAAGUAUAUGACUGAGGAAUUACCUAAUGCUGUUGUUAUAAAUUAUGAGGGUAUAAUUUUUAGUCAAUUUUAAAAUUUACCACUACUGAAUAUUCAAUCAAAAUGUCCUUCAACUUACAAACCAAUAAGCUUAAGUUCAGUCCUCCCACAUUGCUGUUUUGUUUAUUUUUGGGUUAAUGGACUCUGAUGAUGAGCUGUUUCAGAGAAUGAAAGAGGCUGGCUCAAAUAAGUCAUUCAAGAGAGACAAGGUAACUGGACUGGACUCGUUGAAGUGCACAGUAGAAAAACCGACUCAUGUUAACAUCAAUGGAGCGCCUUGAACGAUCCUUUAAAAUGUUCACACCCUAGUGUGACAAUCCUGAUUCAUGACAAGUAUUCAGAGUAGCAAGUUUAUUUUUGUUACACCAGACAGCUGCUGUUUGUCAUGACAACGGUCCUAAUACCAUCAGGAUUUUCUUGUUUAGUAUAGAAAUAUUCUUCAACGAUCUAAAAUUCCGUAAGUGAAGGAAUCUAGAUUUGCCACGUUUCUUUUGUCGUUGUUUGUUUAUUUGUCUGACUACUUGGUAUUUUCUAUCUUUAUGACCGGAUGUUACCAAACACGUCACAACCAACCACAUUCAAAACCAUAUAUUUAAAGAAACAAGAACACUUUGUUUAAUUUUUUAUAACUAGAAGAUGAAUUGUUCGUUCUAAUCUCGUAAAUUAUCAUGAUGUGUACGCGCCGUAAUGGGGUUCAAAGUGAACAUAUUAAAAAAAAUUGAACAGUUUCA